rnacentral:rRNA from 1 species
GUGCCAGCCGCCGCGGUAAUACAGAGGGNGNGAGCGUUAAUCGGAUUUACUGGGCGUAAAGCGUGCGUAGGCGGCUGAUUAAGUCGGAUGUGAAAUCCCUGAGCUUAACUUAGGAAUUGCAUUCGAUACUGGUCAGCUAGAGUAUGGGAGAGGAUGGUAGAAUUCCAGGUGUAGCGGUGAAAUGCGUAGAGAUCUGGAGGAAUACCGAUGGCGAAGGCAGCCAUCUGGCCUAAUACUGACGCUGAGGUACGAAAGCAUGGGGAGCAAACAGGAUUAGAUACCCUGGUAGUCCAUGCCGUAAACGAUGUCUACUAGCCGUUGGGGCCUUUGAGGCUUUAGUGGCGCAGCUAACGCGAUAAGUAGACCGCCUGGGGAGUACGGUCGCAAGACUAAAACUCAAAUGAAUUGACGGGGGCCCGCACAAGCGGUGGAGCAUGUGGUUUAAUUCGAUGCAACGCGAAGAACCUUACCUGGCCUUGACAUACUAGAAACUUUCCAGAGAUGGAUUGGUGCCUUCGGGAAUCUAGAUACAGGUGCUGCAUGGCUGUCGUCAGCUCGUGUCGUGAGAUGUUGGGUUAAGUCCCGCAACGAGCGCAACCCUUUUCCUUACUUGCCAGCAUUUCGGAUGGGAACUUUAANGAUACUGCCAGUGACNAACUGGAGGAAGGCGGGGACGACGUCNAGUCAUCAUGGCCCUUACNGCCAGGGCUACACACGUGCUACAAUGNUCGGUAC